CCCAAAACAAAACAAGACAAAUACAUGGAGACCACAAGCCUCAAAAUCAUCCCCCUUUCUGCAAAAACGUCUACAUGCGGCCCUGCAAUGACAACGACCUUGUUUCCGCUUUAAUAAACUGCCGGAGAUUUGCUGUUUUCUGUUAGGGCUUGAUCAAUAUAUCUACUCUGCGAGUAAAACCAGCCAGAAUUAAGAUUCCACAGACUUAUCCGUGGGAUCAGUGGGAAUGAUUUUAAAGCGCCGAUAAUACUGUAAAGCCGCACUCGUUAACGCGAGGCUAAUCGCUCACUUGUCGUUAUCCGAAGACAGAUCACGUUAUUGAUAUAUAACGUAAAUGCCACUAUUUCUAUCUGCGUUUGUUUAGUGCUUCUCCAGGUUUAAACCCAAAGUGGGCGUGGCCUGCUCGGAAUGUUCUGGCUCUCAACCUUAAAAAGUUCCUCAACCUUAGCUCACUCGAGUUCAUGACCUGUCUCGGCGCACCAGACCUGUUCGUGCACUUAUCAUGUUUGUUCGUAACUGCCUGCAAUAUUGUCUAAUGAAUUUAUUUCCAAACUAUAUGACAAACGAGCAGCCUAAUUCAAACUAGCACACGAGUGGACGUAUUUGUAUUCGGAUACAUCCCUAGUUCAUCUAAAGGUAACUUUAAGCACUCUUGGAUGGUAAGGACAUCAACAAGGUUCAAACCGAACCAGGUCGUUUAACUGGAUUGAAGUCAUAAGUAAUUAUACGAAUUAGCGACUGGUUUUCAUAUUAAUAUUGCUGGUUCUGAUUGAAGUACAUUCAAGUUUGAGUAAACAGUGAUAUUCGUCAUGCCCCGUAUACUGUUGUUUGAGCAUUAUCAUGUCAUAUCAGCUCAUGUUAUAGGUUAUCGAAAUGUUUAGCACUUUCUUUAACAGUAUAAUCGUUAGAGCUGCAACAACUAAUCGAUAAAAUAAUAACAAUCGAUUAUGAAAAUCGUCCUCAACUGAUCUCGUUAUCGAUUAGUCGGUCUGCGUGGGACGGGGUACGUUAACUCAUUACGUUACUUCUCUUCCGAAAACACGCUCCGGGGAGUAAAUACUAAAGUUGUGUCCUAAAUUACGCACUCUACCGUCUAGUGUGUGAAGUUUAGAAAGGUAAUCGUCUCAAAAGGAACACGAGCGUUUUUUACUAACCGGAAGUAUAAGCCGCUUCCUAGUUGAUGGCGCAUGACGUCAUACGCACGUAACGUGACGCCGCUAGCUUUAGGCUAAUACCCAGAGUCACCGACGAUGACGUUCUUCAGUUUACUUUUUAUGUCAGCGUUACCUUUUAAUAAAAAGUAAUGCAUAAAUACUAUUAUAUAAUAUAAACUUAUAUAUUUGUUUACAUUUUAC
ensembl:lncRNA